AGUACAACAAUCAAACAACAUAAUGAUUUCCACAAAGAAAAUUUAAAAAAUAUAUUUAUGUUAUGUAGUCUUAUUUUAUAUUCUUUAAAUAAUGUAAUACAGUAUUAUACAUUAUAUUUUUUUAGAAUUGAGAAAUACAUAUAAUAUCUUAUCCGCGCGUAGCGCGGUUAAAAAAUCUAAUUACUUAUAAUAACACACAUUUUUUAUGUAAUGACUAGAAUAACAUACAAAAAUUAAGAAAGAAAAAAAAUGUAGCAUAAAGUCCAAAAUACCCCAUCGUUAAGAUGAAUUAAAUUUAAAAUUAAAAUACACUAAAAAGAUAACAAUUAAAAAAAAAACUAUUCUUAAACAAAGAUGAAAAAAUCCCUCUUUCGAAAGCCCCUUCCCGACACAUGAACCCUAAAUCCCUAUAUUCCUCUAUUCUCGAAGCUCUUACGUUUUGACUCAUUCCGCCGAGAAUCGAUCUUGUUCUUAUACUUCUCUGCCGAGAAUUUGAAUCCCAGAAAUCUGACGAACCCCUAAUCUCCUUUCUGAAAUUCUGGGGAACCCUAAAUCACAAGGAAAGUCCAGAAUGGCUAAGAACCGUGAUACUUGCUGUUGUUAUUGCUACUUUCAUAAGUCUAUAGAGAUUUGUUUUUGUUACAUGACCAAGAAGAAGAAAGCUGCAAGCCAAAUUUUGUAAAAAAUCAUCCUGAUCCAUUGUUCUAAAAAAAGAAACACAACACAAAUGUCUUUUUUUGUUGCGCCAAAAGAGCCCAUUUUUCUUCUGCAGCACUCUUUGUCUCGUGUGAUCAAUACCUCAACAACACUCUUAUACUUACAUUUCAGUAAAAGUACUCUUGUAUGUUUUCAUCUCCUCUUAAAAGAGUAACUAUGAGUACUAACGUGGUGCUAAAGUAAACUCUUAAACCCAAUGCAGACUAAGCAGAACAUCGUCUGACUUGAACAAAAUUCAAACUACAUGAGUGAGACUAUAUGGAUUCGGCUUGAUACAUUGGCUAAUUUAUUUUUUUAGUUCUUUCUGAAUUAAUGUAACGUUUAGUGUCUUUGCACAGUUAUGUUUCAUAUUAAAAGAUGGGAAAUCUUAAGAAAUAGCCACUUGUAAAAAGAGAAAAUUGUGACUUGGAGAAGAAGAAGUUUUACGGCUGAAACUAAGUUCUAGUAACAGGUAGCGGUUAGUGGUCGAAUUUUUGGUUCAAUUAGAAUAAACCAGAAUUCUAAUUAGCUCUAAAUAGUUAAUCGAACCAGGAUGAAAAAAAUCUAUCCUGACGUAUAUUAAAACCUGCUGUAACAUAGAAGUUAGUUUCGUUAAUAAUUUAUAAGUCUGCAACUAAGCAUACUUAUUCGGAAAGUUUGUUGUUUAUAAACAAAAAAAUUUAAGUAUGCUAUCAUAGGAACGGAAAAUAUGCCAAACUAUAAAAAAUCUACGAAAAAAUCUGCAUGCAAGUAUAAAAGUCUAUGACAUAUUAUAAAUUUGCUAUCAUAAGGCAAAAAUCUUCUAAAAAAAGUUCGCCAACAAAAAACAAAUCUGCGAACGUAAUUAAAUCUGCCAUUAUGUGUGCUAGACUUUUUUCUAAAGGUUUGCUAUGAUAUAAAGUCUACCGCAAUAAACCUGCGAGAAGAAAUAAAUCUGCCAUCAAAUAUUGUAGAUUUUUUACGGUAAACUUAUUUACAUGUUUCAAAUUUUUUUUUUUUGGUGACGUGGCGAGUAGCAUUUUUCUGUAAAUAUUUUUUUGUUAACAAAGAAAAUAAGGGUAUUUUAGGUAUAGAAAACAAUCUAGUAAUUAAAAAUAAUUGUAUGUUAUUCUAGUAAUAAUAACAUGAUUUGAUGUUAUUUUAGUAAUUUUCCCAUUUAUUAAUUCCUCUUUGAUGUAAAAACAAAAAGAUAAAUCCAAAUCAGGUAUUUGAUUGCAUUUGUGAAUCUUAUGUUUUCUAAAAAUAUUGACUUAUCCAAAAAUCUAAAUUGACAUGUAGGCAUGUCGAAACUUUAUCAACAUAUGAUGCAUGAUUUGUGGUAUGAAUCUUUUGUGGUCACUAGUAUACUGAAUGGACAUUUUUGUCUCUAGUUCAAAUUUUUUUUUGUAAACCAUGUAAACAACUUCUUGACUCUUUCACAAAAGAAUUUUUCUUUCCUAAAAUGAAUUGUGACUGAAUCAUCUCUGUGGUAAGUAAAGUAAAAGAAGUCAUUUUUCUUUUGUUAUUUACAGAUUGAUGUAAAUUUAUAGAGAGAGUCGUUUAAAACUAUAGGUUUAAACUAUUUUUUGGAUAUUUUGUGGGAGUUUCUGAAAGCCUCCCAUAUGUAGGUACAUCUUUGCAGUCCAGAAGUAAAAAAGAUUGUGCCGCCUCUCUUCAUCCAUGCCAUCGACAAACUAAAAGUGGAAAUCCAUAUAUACGCAAAAAACAAGAGAUUAAUCCAAGAACAUUUUUUUCCAAAACCAUUGAAUAACAUAAUCUAUUUCUUCAAAGUUCUUGUAGUUAGUGUGAUUUCCAGUCUUCUAUGGAGAUUGUGUCAUGCUUUUCACCACGUAACAUACAAUCAAUGUCUUUAAGCUCCAGUGUUAAAGCAGAUUUUGUGAUCCACCGACAACAUCUUUUCAAAUCCUUCCACAAAUUGCCUCACUUGUUCUUCCACAAGUUUGACGAACAAGUGUUCUGUUCUCAGAUUUACAACUCUUUGUCCUUGAAGGCAACAUCAGUAGCUUCAUCAUUUCACAUAAAUGAAUCUCGACCAUCUUUCCCUUUUCCUCCUCAAUCUCUACUGAUAACUUUAACUUCAUCGCAUUAAAAGCCUCUUCACUCAUCUCAAAUAUUCUGCUGCAGCUUUGGUGCUCUAUCUCAUUAGUGACUGUGACUUCUUCCAAGCAACGACGGACCCAAGAAUUUUUUUUAUAUGGGUCAAAAAGGUUCAUGGUGUCUUUGAAGAGAAUCGAACAUGAAUUUUGUGGGUUCAUUCUUACCCAAUCCAACCAAAUGUGCUACAAAUGAUUGCUAAACAUGGCAUUCUAAUUAAAUUUUCUUAUUUUUGUGGUGUCAACUGAAUCCAUUGUCUUUCAAGUGAGUUCACCACUGCUUCCAAGUGCACCGACUUUCCAGCUAAAUUGAAAAAGAAGAUAGGAUCUAAGAGGAUACCAACUUGUACACGAUGUUGUAUGGCCAACGCUAUGAUGAGACCAGCAAACUUAAACUUCUUCAGGUAAUCUUCAUCAACAAAGGAAGCAGGGUUUGGUCUAUAACUUCUGCAGUCGCCAGGAGAUACAGUGAACAACUUUCUCUUUGGGUCAAAAAUCUCUUUGGAAACCAGGAAGAACCAUUCCAGAACUAGUCCAUCACCAUAAGCUUCUUCCCUCUUGAAACGCGCCGAGAUGUCACCGUUAAGAGUUGUAGCACCCGUAGGCUGUAAAAUUGACUGAUCCAAUAACCAUGACCUGUUAAUUUCGAUAUGAAGCAUCUCUUCCUUUGUUUCCAUACACAUCAGUUUUCCAAAAUGAUACCGGAUCUGGAAGUUCCUAUAGUCGCUCCGCUUUAAUGCUCAAUUUUGAUCCCCAAUUCGUGAAAAAGGUGACAAGAGAGUAGAGUGCAGCUUUCCUAGACUUGAUCAUAUCCUCAACUUGUUCCAUCACACCUUUUUCUGAUUCAGAUAGAGCUACAAUUGGGAGACGUUUAACCAUCUGGCCAGCUGGCUAGAGGAUGCGAGGCAGCAUGCAAACGCGAAUAUGACGAUAAUGCUAAUUGGGAAUAAGUGUGAUCUUGCACACAGAAGGGCAGUGACCACGGAGGAAGGAGAGCAGUUUGCAAAGGAGCACGGUCUUAUUUUCAUGGAAGCCUCUGCCAAGACUGCUCAGAAUGUCGAAGAGGCAUUCAUAAAGACUGCAGCAACAAUAUACAAAAAAAGAUUGAAGAUGGUGUGUUGAUGUGUCAAACGAGUCGUAUGGAAUUAAAGUUGGAUAUGGAGGCAUCCCGGGGCCAUCAGGUGGCAGAGACGGAUCCACAUCGCAAGGAGGAGGUUGUUGCGGCUAAGAUUGGGAAUGGUGUCUAUGUCAUAUAAAGCAAAAAUCUCUCCUGUUUAAAUUAUAUAGUUUUGUAAAUCGUUUGGUUUUCGAUUUGGUGACUUUGUGUUGUGUUGGAUUUCAGAUCAUUCAUUUAUCUAUAAGAUGUGUUUUGCAUAUCAAAGGAUAUGAUUGAGAGGUGGGAUAUGAUUUUGGAACAGAUUGUUCAUCCUGUUUCAUUUUUGAAUGAUUAUCAUAAGCAAAGGAAAUGAUAUCAUGUGAGUAGAUAUACGGUAUUCGUAACGGGCAUGAGUUAUGAAAGGUGCUUAUCUGUUGUGUCUGUGGUUCAGAGAAGCAAGAGGUACAGAAGACGAACUCCCAACAUGGAUACAUGCGGAACGAAGACCAGUACACGAGGUAAAACAAGCAGUUAGGUUCUUGUGAGUACUCAACCUGUCAUAUUACAUUGACCUACGUCUUAAGUGACCAGAGCGGAACAUCUACGCGAUAUCUUUCUGUUCUUUUAAUGUCUAAGUGCAGACAUAUAACAUACAACAACAUAAGACUGGAUAGUCCUAUAUUUUUAGUUUUUGAGUUUCGUCAAAGAGAGAUUUUAUAGUUGAUGUGUACAUUUUGAUCUCUCUCUACAACUUCUUCGUUAGAAAUCUUAAACCUAGUGUGUUGUUAUAUUUUAAAAAAAAAUACUAGUAUUAUAAAAAUCUAUAUUAGAACAUGAUUAGUGGUAAGCUCUCAAUAGAUUUCUCAUGAUAAAAUAAAAUAAAAAUAAUUGAAAAGUAAGAGAGAGGAGAGAGUAAAUCUCUUUAGGAAGAGAUUUUUACCUUAUGCAAAAACU